CUUCAAGAGAGACGAGGCUUGCCACCACGCUGUAAUCCGUAAAGGAUCCUUGACAUUUUGCAUCCGGGAUGACAUUUGUACCUUUCCCAGAUUCAUCUUUAGUGUCCACAUUAUCUUGACCGUCGCCCAGUUGAUUAUGAAG